ensembl:lncRNA
AAUGAGACCAUGCUGUGUAUUAAGGAAAUUGAAUGAAAAUUGAAAUCGUUACAGAAGAUCUUACAGGAUAAAGAGAGAAGUAGUGUGACUGAACGAGUGCAGGUGGCUGCUAUUUUCUCUUUUUACCUUUGAGAUUUGCCUUGACUGGGACUUCUUGUAUUCUUUGGUGCCAUGGAUUUUCUGCCUUUCUUCAGGGAAUCUGACCCCUUUGCUGUUAUUGGGGAUAGUGAUGAUGUGAUAAUCGACGGCCAACCCUGUGGGCCUUGUGGUGCUGAUGAGAGGCCUUGCAGAAGGAUCUAGCUGUAUUGGAGCAAUG